rnacentral:rRNA from 2 species
UGCGCAGGCGGUUUUGUAAGACAGAGGUGAAAUCCCCGGGCUCAACCUGGGAACUGCCUUUGUGACUGCAAGGCUAGAGUGCGGCAGAGGGGGAUGGAAUUCCGCGUGUAGCAGUGAAAUGCGUAGAUAUGCGGAGGAACACCGAUGGCGAAGGCAAUCCCCUGGGCCUGCACUGACGCUCAUGCACGAAAGCGUGGGGAGCAAACA